GACGAACGCUGGCGGCGUGCCUAAUACAUGCAAGUAGGACGAAGGUGCGAAAGGGUGAGUAACGCGUAGGUAACUACCUAGAAGAGGGGGAUAACAAUUGGAAACGAUAGCGAAUACCGCAUACUAGUAGAUGGACCUGCGUUGUAUUAGCUAGUAGGUAUGGUAAUGGCCUACCUAGGCAACGAUACAUAGCCGACCUGCGUGGGUGAUCGGCCCCACUGGGACUGAGACACGGCCCAGACUCCGACGGGAGGCAGCAGUAGGGAAUCUUCGGCAAUGGUGGGAACCCUGACCGAGCAACGCCGCGUGAGUGAAGAAGGUUUUCGGAUCGUAAAGCUCUGUUGUUAAGGAAGCGUUACUUAACCCGAACGUGACGGCUAACUACGUGCCAGCAGCCGCGGUAAUAC
rnacentral:rRNA from 1 species